GAAGGCGUAUGCACGCAGUCUGAUGGAGCACGCCGCGUGAGUGAAGAAGGCUUUCGGGUCGUAAAACUCUGUUGUUGGAGAAGAAUGGUCGGCAGAGUAACUGUUGUCGGCGUGACGGUAUCCAACCAGAAAGCCACGGCUAACUACGUGCCAGCAGCCGCGGUAAUACGUAGGUGGCAAGCGUUAUCCGGAUUUAUUGGGCGUAAAGCGAGCGCAGGCGGUUUUUUAAGUCUGAUGUGAAAGCCCUCGGCUUAACCGAGGAAGUGCAUCGGAAACUGGGAAACUUGAGUGCAGAAGAGGACAGUGGAACUCCAUGUGUAGCGGUGAAAUGCGUAGAUAUAUGGAAGAACACCAGUGGCGAAGGCGGCUGUCUGGUCUGUAACUGACGCUGAGGCUCGAAAGCAUGGGUAGCGAACAGGAUUAGAUACCCUCGUAGUCCA
rnacentral:rRNA from 1 species